AAAUUUUAAAUUUAGAAAGGGCUUGGAAUGUAACUCAGUGGAAGAGCACUUGCCUGCAUAUGUGAGGCCUUGUGUUCAAUCCCAGUACCACACAAAGAAGUAGAAUAAA
rnacentral:miRNA from 1 species